CUCCCUGGCGGGCGCUAACGAUGCGAAGCGCUCGCACGAACGGACGGUAAAGGAGGGCAGGCGGGGGCCGGGCUGGGUUAAAGAAGAGGUGGGGGGAGGGAGGAGGGGAUGGUGGUGGUGGUGGUGGAGGUAGUGGAAGAGAGGGGGAGGAGGGGGGAUCGGUCGAUCGAUCGAGAGAACGGCAGUAGUGUGGCGGAGGAGGAGAGGAGAGAGAGAUGAGGCGCCGCCGCGUAGAGGUAGCGGGUAAGUAACAAGAAGCGGGCCGCCGCCGUCACUCAGCUGCGAGAUUGCGUCGGGCCGCGGCCGCGGCCGCCCUGACCCGCACGGUCUUCGCGCCGGCUUUUGCGCAGACGUUCGGCGCCUCUACGUGUUCUAAUAUCGUGAACAAGAAGAGUAACAAGCCGAGACUCGUAACCAACUAAGCACUUCACUUCUAUCGUACCCGGGACCCUGCCGUAGGCGCAGGACCCCAAACGUUGAGCCGCACCACGACCAGAAAGACGACCGGAGACCGACGGUCCCCGACUCGGUACUCCCGACCGAAGAGGACCGCGAGUUCUCGGUCUACUAACUGUCAAUGGUGGUGGAACUGUUGACCUUGGGGUUCCUAGGUAGCGGCACGCGCACCUCACCACAGUUGACGAGGAGGAGGAGCAGCAGCAGCUCCGAUCGUCACCACAGAGAGUUGCAGUCGUUGUACUUGGACAGCCCGUGGCAGCCGGGGCCGUAACCGCCAGAAUGGCUCGACUGAUCGGAGCUAGACAGGAAGUUACUCAAGAGACCACGGUAGGGAGGCCUGUAGCCCUUAACGAGUUUUGACCACAACGAGUUGAACUUAUUGUUGUUAAAACUACCAUGUUAGGGGGGACUCGAACCCUUCGACCGGUACGACUGGCCUACGUUAGACACGUUAUUGUCCGAGGUACCAGGUUAUGGACUACUCUAACCAUUGUACAGUAGUGAAGUUCUGAACCACCCCAUGUCAUUGUUAGAGAGGCCAAGAUAUGGCGUAAGCCAGCCGUUCGAGUUCGUGGAGUUCUGGUAGGCCGACCCUGUCUUAGAAUAUAGACCGUCGUAAGGACGGCUCUAUCCGCUUACGGCGUUGGACUGGCACAAACCAGAACGCGUCUUGUUCAACCUUCCCGGAAACGGUUUUCUCUAACCCUCUAACCCAGAGUACUGUCUGGAGUAGGACACCCCUUUAGUCGAAAGACCGGGGGAAGGAGGUCUCUAGCCCUUAACAUGUUUAGAGUCCUGAUAACGGGAAAUACUAUUACUAGACCAACCAGGAUAUGGACGUCGUUAACCCUUGUAAUGAAUAGAACUCUUCGACAUAGAAAUGUCCUUAAGCUAUUUACCAUGGUAAGGUAGACUUUAACCCUUCGAAAGAAAACGUCUCCUCCAACUAAAAAGUCUCUUAAAGAAUUGCCCUCCCUAUGGUUUCCUCAACCCGUUGUAUGGUCCCAACAUAGAUGAGAUGGAGAAGGUCUUAGUCGAAUGACCGAAAUAAGGAUCACUCAACACACCUAACUCCUUGAACUCGUUCGAACUAGAAAGCUAGUUAAGUGAGUGACCGGGUUAAGGUCGGCCUAAAGUCAUGUACUGGUUCGAUUAGGUCAACGUUGAGAAGUUGUUAUACGAUAGUCCCCUGUAUGGAGGUUCCAAACCGUAAAUGUCAGCUGACACCCACCACCUAAAGAGUUUGUUGUUGUAAUGUCCCGUCUAUGGAUCUCUAGAAACAUCCGUCAGUUUGGAAUAAAACAACUUAGACCCCAGAUUGUUCAACUGACCUUUGUAUGGAGUGUCUUAGUGGUCGACAUUUAGGAACCACGUCGAAGCAGAGUCACUGUUGUCAGACUGUCCUUCGAAGAGGUGACUAGAGACGUUAGACCACUUAAACUGUUGUUAGCUCGACCGAGCUUUGUUCAAGUUACCGGGAUAAGGAGGAGUCUAUCCCUUGACGUUACGAGACGUCUCCGAAUUGGAACGUUUAUUAAUAAAGUGUAGACUCAACGGGGCUCUUUAUCCCUUUAACAGUUUCGAACAGCAGAAGUUAUAGAGUAGAUUGUCCGAUCCUCCUUCGUAUGGUGACCUCUAGAAGUUAACAUGUUGUAACGUCGCAGAACUAGAGUCGGUCUUAUCGAAACUUCCAAGUAACGGUUUACUUCAACCAUCUGACGGAGUUGACCUCGAAGAGAGCAAGCGACUAUUAUCCGAUAGACCCGUCUACGGUGGAUAAGAACCAUUUGAAAGUGUAAACUGUCGUGACGUCUAACCACCGUUAGUUAAGAGACCACCUUAUGGUUUCCUCGACCCCGACGAGAGUUCGAACGUCUAACGGUACUUAAACUCGAUAUUAUUAGAGAGACCCUUAUAUGGUAGUCUCGAACCGUCAGAACGUAAUAACCUUUCAAACAAAGAGUUAUUAUUGUUGGACUGUCCACUUUAGGGUCUAUGUAAACAUUUGGACAGUUCAAACGAAGUCGAGUUACAGAGCAUGUUAUUAGAGUGGCCAUGAGAAGGGGGACACGGCGAAAAACUGUUGUACCAACACUGGUCGAAAUAACCUUUGUCUCCUGAGACACCACCUGUUGAACCGUUCACACCUAGACUCAGUGGGAGGAGAAGGGUCCGUAGGCUGAGCCUACGCAUAUGUAAAGUCCUUGACCAGAGACGAUGUUUAUUAAAACUACUAUCAACACAGUAACCUGCCCCACGAACACCCUGACACAUGUUUCGGCAGGACUUCGGACCCGUCUAUUAACGCCAUUUCUUCAACCGAAGUUUGUCCCUUCCUUCGUUGUGCCUAUUGUCGAAGGCACGCCUCUAGUACUGAGAACCUUUCUAUUCUGUAGCAUUGUAACACUUCGACAUGCCAAAGUAGAUAGUGGUCCCACGUUUGGAAAACAACAUACUCAUGUACGGUUCUCCGUCGGAACCUCUCGAUGAAGUGCCUCUUAGAAGAAGAAGUGAGCUAACCCUCUGUGCGAAGUGCUAUCGGGAACCCCGUCGACUUCCCGAAAGUAUGAACGUAGUACUAACGUUCGGAGCCUAGUAGGUGGCACUAUAGUUCAGUUUAUUGUAAAAUGAACUACUGUUGAAACUUCGAGUACAACCACUGAAACCCAACCGAUUCCAUUAACUGUACGGUCAGAGUUUCAGAUACAGACGUUAACGACCAAGUAUACCGAUAUAACGUGGUCUCAUACGCAUGUGGUACUUCCACUGACUCUUUAGACUGUAUAUGUCGAUACCACAGCACGACAACCUCGACGAUUGGCCGGCACGCGGACACGUUGGCUAUCUUAACCCUCCACUAGACCAUUGUACCCGGUUUUUAAUGUAGUCCCUGUUAAGAGACCCAGGUCCCUAUAAACUGUCAUUAGAACUAAACCUUCUAUUUCGGCAGCAGCUAGUAUACUAGCUCCAGAACUUUUAACGAGACGAUACAUCAUUGGACAGCGGCAUGCUCUCUGGCGGCUACGCCGUACAACAUCAAUACAAUUCGCUCAGGUUUCUAUCCCGGGCCCGCUCGAGCCGCAGCAGCGGACGAAGACUAUUAAGAAGCUUCUUCCUAUCGAGUACUACAUAAAUAUAUAUAUUCAAGUCAAUCACUUUCCGUUGGUUAUGGUCAACGAGGGAAAGGGGACAACGAAUACCACCCCUACAACCCUCGUACGUGAGUAAGAAAGACAGUUAACAAAAGAUCACCCUAUUUAUUAUGACUGACUAUUGUCACCCUAACACAUACAUACAAUCGGAGAGACUACUUCUUCCAUCAGAGCUCAGGUCUGUCAUUGGGGCUCAUCAAGUCGGUCCCAAGGAGGGACCUGCACCGCGACACGGAGAACGAAUCUAAACCCAAAUCAUAACUCUAAAGAGUUACAACUUUAUACUUACACGAAAACGACCUUGUUGUACCAGAAAGACUUGAACAC
rnacentral:rRNA from 1 species